rnacentral:rRNA from 1 species
UACGAAGGGGGCUAGCGUUGCUCGGAAUGACUGGGCGUAAAGGGCGCGUAGGCGGUUUGUACAGUCAGGUGUGAAAUUCCCGGGCUCAACCUGGGGGCUGCACUUGAUACGUAGGAACUGGAGUGGGGAAGAGGGUCGUGGAAUUCCCAGUGUAGAGGUGAAAUUCGUAGAUAUCGGGAGGAACACCAGUGGCGAAGGCGGCGACCUGGGCCAAUAUUGACGCUGAGGUGCGAAAGCGUGGGGAGCAAACAGG